UCCGGGAUAGUGUAACGGCAGCACGACAGAUUCUGGUUCUGUUUGUCUAGGUUCAAAUCCUAGUCCCGGAAC
rnacentral:tRNA from 1 species